UAGUAGAUACUCAUGGGAGAGC
rnacentral:piRNA from 1 species